rnacentral:rRNA from 1 species
CUAGCGGCAGGCCUAACACAUGCAAGUCGAACGGUAACAUGAGAGCUUGCUCUUGAUGACGAGUGGCGCACGGGUGCGUAACGCGUAUGCAAUCUACCUAUAACUGAGGAAUAGCCCAGAGAAAUUUGGAUUAAUACCUCAUAAUAAUAUUUUUUGGCAUCAUUAAAUAUUUAAAACUCCGGUGGUUAUAGAUGAGCAUGCGUUCUAUUAGUUUGUUGGUGAGGUAAAAGCUCACCAAGACUACGAUAGAUAGGGGGCCUGAAAGGGUGAUCCCCCACACUGGUACUGAGACACGGACCAGACUCCUACGGGAGGCAGCAGUGAGGAAUAUUGCACAAUGGAGGAAACUCUGAUGCAGCCAUGCCGCGUGCAGGAUGACGGCCCUACGGGUUGUAAACUGCUUUUUUACAAGAAGAAACCUUGGUACGUGUACCAACUUGACGGUAUUGUAAGAAUAAGCACCGGCUAACUCCGUGCCAGCAGCCGCGGUAAUACGGAGGGUGCAAGCGUUAUCCGGAUUUAUUAGGUUUAAAGGGUUCGCAGGCGGAAUUUUAAGUCAGUGGUGAAAGCCUAUAGCUCAACUAUAGAACUGCCACUGAUACUGAUAUUCUUGAGUGUAGAUGAAGUGGGCGGAAUAUGUCAUGUAGCGGUGAAAUGCAUAGAUAUGACAUGGAACACCAAUUGCGAAGGCAGCUCACUAAACUAUUACUGACGCUCAUGAACGAAAGCAUGGGGAGCGAACAGGAUUAGAUACCCUGGUAGUCCAUGCCGUAAACUAUGAUCACUAGAUGUUGGCGAUAUACUGUCAGUGUUUAAGAGAAAUCGUUAAGUGAUCCACC